AUUGGAGUCAUUUUCCACAGAUUGCCCUGAGAUUCAACAGGUGCCUUUAACACCCCAGCUGUGACAGGCUCAGACGUCUCCAGUCGUUGCCAAAUGUCCUUUCACAGCAAGGUGACAAAAUUGCUUCUGGCUGAGAACUGCUACUACAGAUGAAGCAUGAAAGUGUCAACGAGAGAGCCAAAGGUCACGGCACUUUCAGAUCUCUUAGAAAACCACUAACACUCAUUUAGACCUCAAAUUAGGGGUCAGCGAUUCAGCUGAGAGCGGACAGCAUCUGAGAGCUCAUUGAAUGGAACGUGGCAAUAAUCCUUAGGCAGCUACUUCCUAAUCAUUGCCGGCAGAGGCUUUAAAGACAGCUCGGAGAGUUCAUUAUGCAAAUGGAAUUGUCUGGAUCUGCUGACGGUGACUGAACUGAACAGACUCUAGGCACAGAUAUCCGCCUGGCGUCCUCUUCCGAGCGCAGGAAGACACCAAGACAGACAUUCUCUGAUCUGCAUGUACUUAUACAGCAAUUAAUGAAGAGCAAGCAAGUUCAUCUUGAAGAUGAGGUACAGAUAACUUAAAAACUGGACAGAAUCAACAAGCUGUGACCCUUUCUUUUUUUUAUCAUAUCUAGUCUU